UAUUCCACCUCUCACCCCCCAACCCAUGUUGAGCAUCCAAUCGCGUUGGGGUACGGAUCACAUUUCGGUAUAACUGUGACACAUAACCAGGCCAGGGGGUGAUUGAAAAGUCUCACAACUGCUCGGACCCCCAGUGCUGCUCUCUGCUCUCGGGCCACAGACCAAAAGCCAUCAUGUCUGACACAGAGGAAGUUGAACAGGUGGAGGGUAUGUACAAAACAUGCUUGCUAUAUAUAGUAAAAGUAUAUGAAUUAAUAUUAUUUCUAUAUAAUGCGAUAAUUCUUAAUGUUGCCGUUAACACACUAAUAAUUUGUCA